CAACCCUCGAGCCCCUCUGGGCUUGGUGUUGGGGUACGGCCUCUCGCCCAUAGGGCGCGGCCGGCCCUGAAAAUCAGUGGCGGUCUCGCUGCAGCCUCCCUUGCGUAGUAGCACACCUCGCACUGGAGCGCGGCGCGGCCACGCCGUCAAAACGUAGCCUUAGGGCGCAUUUUUUUUAAGG
rnacentral:misc_RNA from 1 species